UCUUCUACUACCCAGCAAGCCACCUCUUAUAAAAAAGAAAAGGAAGGAACAAAAAUAGAAGGGAAAAAGCAAUUCAACAAAACUCUACAUCAUGACUGAAUCUCAGAAGCAGUGUAAAUAGUAGCUGGAUAAAGACCACCGCCAUUCUUUGAUGGAGGACCACCCUGGAAAGAAGACAAUGGGCAAGCUAAGCAGUGGCCAUAGGUGAAGUUCACUUUCAUUCCCUCCUUCCAGUGCCCAUCUCCAGGGCUGUGCCUUUCAGGUAGGCUGCUAACAACAGAUGAAGUACGCUGGAGGGAGCUAAAUGUCAGAUGGAAACAAUUUAGAAAUUACAAUCAUCUCCUCAUAGUGAUGGCAAGGGCUAUGGCUAUCCGAGACUUUAUUAAUCAUCAGCCUCUUCCUUAACCUACAUUUAGUUUCCUUCAUCUCUUUCUCCGUAUUUCAUCCACAUAGAGAUAGAGUUAAGUUAAAUUUAAGACUGGGGACAGCGGGGGGUAGAGACAAAAGCAACACAGAACAGUUUAAUGGGUUGGGAAAAAAAUCAUUAGGGGAGAGAAUGUGGAAAGGAAAGGCAAAGCGAUUUAUAUAGCAUUUAUAUAGUAUCCAUUAUCCAUUAUGUGCUAAGCAUUGUGUGAUAAGCACUUUGGGAAUAUCAUCUGAUCCCCAAAACAAUUUAAGUUAGAUGCUGUUAUGAUCACCCCUUUAAUACUGAGUCAAGCAGAAGUUGGGUGUCAUGUUCAGGUCAAGUAAGUAAGUAAGAGUCUAAGGCUUAAUGUCAGAUUUGAAUUCGGGUCUUCCUCAUUCCAGGCCCAGCAUUACCACCAACCAAGAAUCAGAAGAACAACACUUCAGAAUGGUCCAUAAUCCAUCUGUAGUCUAUCUCAUUUUCAGCAACAACCUUCUCUAUAUUGGAAUAUAUAUUACAUUAGAUCCAAAGCUUUUCCUGAUUCCCCUUAAUUUUCGUACUUUCUAUUGAUUAUUUCCAAUUUAUCCUGUACAUAGCUUGU